GGCCAGUCACAUUUUCAUCAGAGUGUAGCAAGCACUUUCAUCGACUGUAUCACAACACAAGGGACUGCUCAACGCCAGCCUAUUAUAAAAGGUGUGCAAGGUUGCUAACGAGAUUAGCAAUGAGCCCUUUGUGUACACAGUCCUAGGAUGUUUGCUAUACUUUCUACUAAGGAGAGAAUUCUGAUUUGCCAAGAAAGUGCCUUGAAAUCUUCCAAGACAGAGAAGACAUCUUUUACCUUUUUGAUUUACGUUUUGUUACUAGAUGCAUUUUAUUUUCCUAUAUUUGUCAGACAUUCCAUAUUUGUGUGAAACAUUAUUUUAUUUUAAUUUGUAAAUUUGUUUCCUAUAGUUCAGACCAGCCAAUUAUUUAAGUGCAUUGUAUAUAAAGAAUACUAAUGAUAUACUGAUUAAAUGUUAUAACCAUAUGCAGGGAGUUGGUAAAAUUUUGCUGUUUCUCUUGUUCCAUUGUACUUACAUCAUUCUGCUCAGGCUCUUACUUCCAUUAUUUGCACUAACUUGAAAUGCAGAAGUCUAUGUAACUGAAAUCUGAAUAAGCUGUAAGUGGAGAAGUUUUACUUGCCAUGGAAGAUAUUUUAUAUUAUGAAGCUUUGUUAAUAUAUACAUAUAUAUUAUUGCGCAUCAGAAAAAAAAUUGCUCAGAAAUGCACCUUGCUUUCAGGAACAUUUGUAUGACUAUUCUGGAUUUUCAUCAGUUACAUUUGUACUGGCACUUAUGGAAAGAGUUGCAAAUAAUGUAAAUAUAAAGACUGGAAAACUGCAAUGCAGUUUUGGUGGAAUAAAGAAC